AUGCAAGCAGGAGACGUGGUAGUGGGACUUGGUGGACAGAUUUCAUGGUUGUGGUUGCUGGGAUACGGUGGUGGUGGGGCUUGGAUUGCAUGUUUGAAGUUUGGAACCCUAAUUUAGGAUGAAGGGUGAAAGAGGGGUUUAUAAGGUGCGAGGAAUCAGGGGUAAAAGGACAUAAAUGCCCUCACGUGCUAAGCAUAUGAUUAGAGUUAACUGAAAUUUCUAACUUGGUUUGGGGUAAAGGACGAAACAAGCAACAGGUUUUCAAAAUAAAGGAUUGUGACUGUAAUUAUUGAAGUAAAAGGCUAUCCAUUGCAAUCCGGUAUAAACAUAAAGCACGAAAAAUGUAAUUUACCCUUACUUUUACAUAUCUCAUGACUAUAAAUGUGAAAUCAUUUUAGCAUAGCUAUAGAUAUAUUUAAACCUCAGUAUAUAGUGAUUUUCCAACAUAGAUCAUGUAAAAGUCUUCACAAAACACACCAAGCCAACUAUUAGAUAUGAGACUUAGGUUAAAUUGCUCUUGCAUCUUACGUCUAAACUUUUGGUGUAUUAAGGGGAAUGAUCCACUAAAAAGUGAAUUUUGCCUAAGUAGUCUAAGGAGUAUGAUGAUAACAUGUGACACUCCUAAUAAAUAGGAAUGAAGGGUAUUUUGGUCCUUAUAAAUAGGAGUGAAAAUGACAUGUGGCACCCGUUUUGUUUUUUAAAAAUACAACAAAAAAAAAUCUAGCACAAAAAAAUCUAGUACAAAAAUAUAUAAAACGAAAAAAUUCAGCAAAAAAAUGUAGUACAAAAAAAUACAGCACAAAA
rnacentral:lncRNA from 1 species